AGAGUUUGAUCCUGGCUCAGGACGAACGCUGGCGGCGUGCCUAACACAUGCAAGUCGAACGGAGAUAUUGAUUUCGGUUAAUAUCUUAGUGGCGAACGGGUGAGUAACGCGUGAACAAUCUGACCUUAAGAGGGGGAUAACAACGAGAAAUCGUUGCUAAUACCGCAUAAGACCACAACGCCGCAUGACGAAGGGGUCAAAGGAGCAAUCCGCUUAAGGAGGGGUUCGCGUCCCAUUAGGUAGUAGGUGAGGUAACGGCCCACCUAGCCUGCGAUGGGUAGCCGAGCUGAGAGGCUGAUCGGCCACACUGGAACUGAGAUACGGUCCAGACUCCUACGGGAGGCAGCAGUGGGGAAUAUUGGGCAAUGGGCGCAAGCCUGACCCAGCAACGCCGCGUGAGGGAAGAAGGUUUUCGGAUUGUAAACCUCUGUUGCAGAUGACGAAGGAAGUGACGGUAAUCUGUGAGGAAGCCCCGGCUAACUACGUGCCAGCAGCCGCGGUAAUACGUAGGGGGCGAGCGUUGUCCGGAAUUACUGGGCGUAAAGGGAGCGUAGGCGGUUUAUUAAGUUGGAUGUGAAAUACCCGGGCUUAACUUGGGGGGUGCAUCCAAUACUGGUGAACUAGAGUACAGGAGAGGAAAGCGGAAUUCCUAGUGUAGCGGUGAAAUGCAUAGAUAUUAGGAGGAACAUCGGUGGCGAAGGCGGCUUUCUGGACUGACACUGACGCUGAGGCUCGAAAGCGUGGGGAGCAAACAGGGUUAGAUACCCUGGUAGUCCACGCUGUAAACGAUGAAUACUAGGUGUAGGGGGUGUAAACUCCCUCUGUGCCGCAGCAAACGCAAUAAGUAUUCCGCCUGGGAAGUACGAUCGCAAGAUUAAAACUCAAAGGAAUUGACGGGGGCCCGCACAAGCAGCGGAGCAUGUGGUUUAAUUCGAAGCAACGCGAAGAACCUUACCUGGACUUGACAUACCCUGAAUAUCUUAGAGAUAAGAGAAGCCCUUCGGGGCAGGGAUACAGGUGGUGCAUGGUUGUCGUCAGCUCGUGUCGUGAGAUGUUGGGUUAAGUCCCGCAACGAGCGCAACCCUUGUUGAUAGUUGCCAGCGUAGAGACGGGCACUCUAUCGAGACUGCCGUGGAGAACGCGGAGGAAGGUGGGGAUGACGUCAAAUCAUCAUGCCCCUUAUGUCCAGGGCAACACACGUGCUACAAUGGGCAGUACAGAGAGAAGCAAGACCGCAAGGUGGAGCAAACCUCAAAAACUGCCCCCAGUUCGGAUUGCAGGCUGAAACUCGCCUACAUGAAGUUGGAGUUGCUAGUAAUCGCGAAUCAGAAUGUCGCGGUGAAUACGUUCCCGGGCCUUGUACACACCGCCCGUCACACCAUGAGAGCUGGCAACACCCGAAGUCCGUAGUCUAACUUAGGAGGACGCGGCCGAAGGUGGGGUUAGUAAUUGGGGUGAAGUCGUAACAAGGUAACC
rnacentral:rRNA from 1 species